GACGAACGCUGGCGGCGUGCUUAACACAUGCAAGUCGAACGGAAAGGCCCUGCUUUUGUGGGGUGCUCGAGUGGCGAACGGGUGAGUAACACGUGAGUAACCUGCCCUUGACUUUGGGAUAACUUCAGGAAACUGGGGCUAAUACCGGAUAGGAGCUCCUGCUGCAUGGUGGGGGUUGGAAAGUUUCGGCGGUUGGGGAUGGAUUCGCGGCUUAUCAGCUUGUUGGUGGGGUAGUGGAUUACCAAGGCUUUGACGGGUAGCCGGCCUGAGAGGGUGACCGGCCACAUUGGGACUGAGAUACGGCCCAGACUCCUACGGGAGGCAGCAGUGGGGAAUAUUGCACAAUGGGCGGAAGCCUGAUGCAGCAACGCCGCGUGCGGGAUGACGGCCUUCGGGUUGUAAACCGCUUUCGCCUGUGACGAAGCGUGAGUGACGGUAAUGGGUAAAGAAGCACCGGCUAACUACGUG
rnacentral:rRNA from 1 species